CACCUCUGAGCAUACUCUCUGAAAGACUCGUUAGACUGUUUCUUGAUCUUGGUAAUUUGAUACCGAUCAGGAGCCAUCUGAGUUUGAACGUUGUUGAGUGAGGAAAUCAUGUGCUAGCUCUUCCCAGCUAUGGAUUUUGGAGUUGUCUAAUCUUGUGUACCACGAACAGGCUUCUCUAGUUAGACUCUUUUGGAAUAAUUGCAUUCUGCACUUUUCGUCCUCUG
rnacentral:lncRNA from 1 species